rnacentral:sRNA from 1 species
AGUCAAGAGUCUUGGCGCCGUUUUGGUGAGCGGAUUUCUUUUGCCCAACUAAAGGUGAAAGACA